UGCCGACUCACAUGCGGGCCCGGUACGUCAGAUACAUCGUCAAUACAAGUUAUACGGUUGUCAGAUCGUAUUGCAACAAUUAGGCUAUGAGAUGGUACUGACACGCAAAAAAAAUAAUUAUUUGUACCAAUCCAUUGCAUGAUGCCCAAGUAUGAUAGUGCCUUGCAAUUAUCUGGCCUUCAAGAGUGGAUGGCUUCGUCCCUGUGUGUCACUCGGUCAUGAGAAUGCAAUAGCAACAUGGCUAGCCAGGAGCUGGCAGCCGAUCUGACUGUCAUGGUCUGGCAGCCGGCCAUAUCAGGGUCCAAUCAGACUUGUUGCGGAGAGGUGUGUGGUGGCAGGCUGGCAGUGAUGGUGUGCGUUAAUAGUGGAGGUUCCCGACAGAUCUGAUGUCGAGCGACAGUAGCUUCGGCAUCGUCCAUGGUCGACCCAUCAUGGUUGCCCUGAUUCAGAUUUGAUGGUGAUUUAGACCCGGUCAGCUGGGGGCGUGGGUGUAGGUUGUGCUCUAACGACCUCCUGCGACAUCACGACAACAUGUUCACCGAAAGGUUUUCAGAGAUGGUUCAUCUUUUCCAGAGCUGGUGGUUGGCUUCGAUGAUAAGAUGCAAACUAUAU
rnacentral:lncRNA from 1 species